AGGAUAUAAAUAAUAGUUGAAAACUCGACUAUUUGAUUUGAUGAUCAGGUACAAAUUCAAAUUAAGUUUUGAAUCUUAUCAGAUUGAAAUUAGAUUCUAUAUAUGCGGUAUGAUUUCUUAUCUAAACAUAACUCAUAUGUUGUUAUUCUCAAAUAUAAAAAUUUGAUAAUCUAAAUACACAUAUGCACAUACAAAUAAAGGAAC
rnacentral:lncRNA from 1 species